rnacentral:rRNA from 1 species
UACGUAGGUGGCGAGCGUUGUCCGGAAUUAUUGGGCGUAAAGGGCGCGUAGGCGGGAAUAUAAGUCUGUCUUAAAAGUGCGGGGCUCAACCCCGUGAGGGGACAGAAACUAUAUUUCUUGAGUGCAGGAGAGGAAAGUGGAAUUCCCAGUGUAGCGGUGAAAUGCGUAGAUAUUGGGAGGAACACCAGUGGCGAAGGCGACUUUCUGGACUGUGUCUGACGCUGAGGCGCGAAAGCCAGGGGAGUGAACGGG